UAGUAUCAGGUGAAUCUGUGUGAGUGU
rnacentral:piRNA from 1 species